CAGCAAUGGAUCUUAGUGGCGAACGGGUGAGUAACGCGUAGGCAAUCUGCCUUCUAGAUGGGGACAACAUCCCGAAAGGGGUGCUAAUACCGAAUGUUGUACCGUUUCCGCAUGGAGAUGAUACUAAAGGUGGCCUCUGAAUAUGCUACCGCUAGAAGAUGAGCCUGCGUCUGAUUAGCUAGUUGGAGGGGUAACGGCCCACCAAGGCUUCGAUCAGUAGCCGGUCUGAGAGGAUGAACGGCCACACUGGGACUGAGACACGGCCCAGACUCCUACGGGAGGCAGCAGUGGGGAAUCUUCCGCAAUGGACGAAAGUCUGACGGAGCAACGCCGCGUGAGUGAAGAAGGUUUUCGGAUCGUAAAGCUCUUUCGUUAGGGACGAACGUGCUCUUUGUGAAUAAUGAGGAGUAAUGACGGUACCUAAAUAAGAAGCCACGGCUAACUACGUGCCAGCAGCCGCGGUAAUACGUAGGUGGCAAGCGUUGUCCGGAAUUAUUGGGCGUAAAGCGCGCGCAGGCGGGAUAUCAAGUCUGUCUU
rnacentral:rRNA from 1 species